AAGUCGUAACAAGGUUUCCGUAGGUGAACCUGCGGAAGGAUCAUUAACACGUAUCCAACGUUAAACAACCCUGUGAACUUUCAGCGCUCUUGUAGCCCCAGGAACAGCAAUCCCGGUAAAUCAAAUGGCGGAAAGUGCAGAAGGAUCCACUGAGUAAGGAUAACGCAUCACGGUUGCCAGAGGUCGAUCACCGGCCGGCAGACAUGUCACAGGGCUUUACGCCCCUUCAUUCACCCCUUGCCUAAUCAAGCCUCGCGGAAACGCCGGGCAUAAAAACCGAACAACUGUUAACAAUGGAUAUCUUGGUUCUC
rnacentral:misc_RNA from 1 species